CAGUAAUUAUCAAGAUGACAUCAUUUCUCAGUCUGCACCUGAAGAUGUUCUCUAGAAGCUGCUCCCAAUUUCACCUUGUGAAGAGUAAGGUCAACGUUCCACCGUGUCAGGCGUGGAGAUGGGAACAGAUCACACAGGAUUCCAAGUUCAACAGACAGAGCACCGGCACCUUUGGUCUCAUACAUCAGGGUGGGGAAGACCGAGAGAGUGCCAGAAGGUGCUGAAUACCCACGAGCUCCCUGCCCCUCCCCUAAACCCAGCAACCCUACCCCCUCCAAGUACCUCUGGCUCCAUUGUUCUCUGUAGGAAGCACUGAAGGAAAUGCCUGUAAAAAGCUCAGACUUGUUGAAACUCACAUGAAACUGAUCCCAGAAUGGGCCAAAGGGGUUUCCUUCCUGCAGAAAGAGAGUGGUGGAAAGCUUACUGAGGGGGAUGGAAAGCCAUUUGGGGAUGGGGCCAGUAGGUGGGAAAACCUGGGUGAUUUGACUCAGGCCAAAACACUCUCACAGGAUGGCCUAGGAGGAAUGUCACUCUGUAAUUCCUGGGCCAGGGACUGAGGAGAUGCCUCAGCUUUAAUUCUGGUUUCCAGCAGGAAAGUCUUUCCUGUUCAUAUGUCACACCUUGCUGACCCGGCAGCACUGAUGACGGUCUGGGGAGAAGCAGACCUGAACCAAGGACUAGAGCUUCAAGAGACAUUCAAGAUUGGCUAAUCCAAUGCCUUCAUUUUCAAGAUGGAAACCAAGGCCCACUGAGGGUCAGACACUUACCCAAGGUUACAAGCAAGUAAGGGCACUACUGGGGCUGUGAGCUAGGUCUCCUUUCUCAAAUUUCAUGGUUCUUCCAACCACUUUCCUAAGACUUUAGAACAUACACCGAAAGACAUAUUUGGGGGUUGCCUUAUUUCCAAAGUGCCAGAAAUGCACAAAUUUCUUCUAAUAAGA